CCAGGCUUUGAUAAUAGUUAGGAAAUACACAGACAAAGGCUGGCAUUCAGCUUUGGAUUUGGAAGUCUAGGAUUAGUACUUAUCUGUGCUGCAUUUUACUCACAUUUAUUGUGUUCAGGAGUCUUCUAAGGGCUGUAUGAGGUAGAGCUGUUUGUGUGACUUGAAGAUACAUCAUCUUUGGAGAUCUGGUUAAGAUGGGCACAAACCCCAUUCUUGUAGUCCAUGGUGGAGCUUGGGCAAUACCAGAUGAUUUUGCUGAAAGAAGCAUCCUGGGGUUAAAAAUGCAGUUAAGAGUGGCUUUGCAGUGCUGGAAAUGGGAGGAAGUUCAAUGAAGGCUGUAGAAAUUGCUGUGCAGGCCUUAGAAGAUGAUACUGUGUUUGAUGCAGGACCGGUUCACAAAAUGAUGCAACUCUUUCUAGAAAUUUGGAUGAACAAUUUCAGUUCCAUUGGUCACAUGAACUUUUACAAAAUAUUUUUUAAAUGGCAUCCUGUUUACUUAUCCCAGAAGUUUUUACAGAACAUGCAAAAUUAAUUGCCAGGAAGUUCAUUUUUUUCAUGCAUAGAGAAGUUUCUUUCCUUUGUAAAUGUGGAUUCUGGUCUGAGUAAAAUGAAUACAAUUUUCCUUCACAUAACAAGCAAUAUUGGAUUAAAAUAUAUCUGCCAUUGAAGAAAAUCUUUUUUGUAUCUCUUCAUACUCCAUUCAGUGAUUUGUAUAUCCAAACUUCUUCAAAGAAUGUCAGAAAUCCACAUGAUGUCCUUGAGCAUUACAUUGCUCUUUCAGAUCUCUGAUUUAGCUGACAGAUGUGUACAAACACAUCAGAGUGGACAAUACCUUAAUGACUAUGCAGCUGUCGAUACUAGAGCACAUGCUAAUCCUACAAAGCUUGAUAUUUUAUUUAUACUAUAAAUAUUCUCCAAUAUCAUGUUUUUCUGUUGAUAAGAUCUUUUUUUUCCCUGAUUUUAACUGCUUUUGUUCAAAGUACUCUUCUUCUCAAUACUUUUACAACACAUUUGUGGAACAUGUGCAGAUAACCAUUCUUUUUGGAGGAUUGAAAUAUAUCAGUGGAUCUUCAAUUAAGUCUGGAAGCUGCCCUUGUCCCCCUAAACACAUACAUAAAACCACUUUUCAGAGCACUGCAGUGUCUGCCUGAUGGUAUCAUGUAGCCUUUAGAGAUUAUCUGCCCUGUUGAUUAUUCCCCACCAGAAGUCAUAAUCCUGUUUGUGAUAUGAUAAUCAUUUCUACAGAAACCAAUUUUGAUGCCACAAACAGGAGAUUAUGACUUCAGUCAGAAAAUAAACAGCAGAUGCAGUUUAACUCUUAAGAAUUAGAAAUCCUGUUUAUCUACAUAUAUCUCUAAUUAAAAAUAUUAUAAAGCAAGAUCUGAACCAUUCACCACCACAAAAAUGUAUGUAUAUUUAUUAUUAUUCAAAAUUGUCCAAGAGC